AAUCAACGCUGGCGGCGUGCCUAACACAUGCAAGUCGGACGUGAAAGGGGUUUCGGCCCUGAGUAGCGUGGCGGACGGGUGAGGAACGCGUGGGUGACCUGCCCUGCAGAGGGGGAUAACCCUCCGAAAGGGGGCGUAAUACCGCAUGAGCCCGAGAGGGGAAAGGACGGUGAGUCGCUGCGGGAGGGGCCGUGCGUCCGAUUAGCUGGUUGGUGGGGUAAGAGCCCACCAAGGCGACGAUCGGUAGCCGGUCUGAGAGGACGGACGGCCACACUGGGACGUGAGAUACGGCCCAGACUCCUACGGGAGGCAGCAGUGGGGAAUUUUGGGCAAUGGGCGAAAGCCUGACCGAGCAACGCCGCGUGAGUGAUGAAGGUUUUCGGAUUGUAAAGCUCUGUCUUCCGGGACGAUAAUGACGGUACCGGAGGAGGAAGCCACGGCUAACUACGUG
rnacentral:rRNA from 1 species